rnacentral:lncRNA from 1 species
AUGCAAGGUGGCGCUGUGGAGCUUUCACCUAAGAACAUGUUUCCCAAAGCUGAAAUCGUUCAGGGCUCCAACAGGACUCCGCCCCAUGCACCCGUAUCUCUCACUCUCUGCUCACCGCCAAUCUAUCACACGGGGCAACUUGUGAUCUCAUGGAUGGCUGUGGUCUCUCUCUCUUCUAGGCCUUUACAUGGCUUGUGGCCUCUGCUGGGGAUGCUAUGGCCGCCUUUUCCCACUUGUCAAGACCCUUGUCACCACGAUCUUACAUGGGUGUUUUCCCCGAGGAGUCCAGCACCACUUCCUCUGAGCUCAACAGUGCUUCUUGUGGGAUACCGCAGCUGUUUGCUGGAGGUUUUACGGAGCACUGUUGCUGUGUUAUAAAGUUCUUCUCUGUCUCAGGGUGCUGUCACCCCUAACCAUAAAAUGGCAGUAGUAACGCCUACCUCACUCAUGAUGGCUAAAUAAUGUACGUAGGUAAGGUGACCAGAGUUAAUAAAGAAAAAUACGGGACACCUCUGUCCAAGGUGUUUGAUA